rnacentral:rRNA from 1 species
CCCUUAGAUGUUCUGGGCCGCACGCGCGCUACACUGAUGCAUUCAACGAGCCUAUCCUUGACCGACUGGUCCGGGUAAUCUUUGAAUCUGCAUCGUGACGGGGAUAGAUUAUUGCAAUUAUUAAUCUUCAACGAGGAAUGCCUAGUAGGCGCAAGUAAUCAGCUUGCGUCGAUUACGUCCCUGCCCUUUGUACACACCGCCCGUCGCUCCUACCGAUUGGGUGUGCUGGUGAAAUGUUCGGAUCGGCCGUUUGUCGCGGUUUCCGCGUCAUGUGGCUGAGAAGUUCAUUAAACCCUCCCACCUAGAGGAAGGAGAAGUCGUAACA